rnacentral:rRNA from 1 species
AUUGAACGCUGGCGGCAUGCCUUACACAUGCAAGUCGAACGGCAGCGCGGGAGCAAUCCUGGCGGCGAGUGGCGAACGGGUGAGUAAUACAUCGGAACGUGCCCAAUCGUGGGGGAUAACGCAGCGAAAGCUGUGCUAAUACCGCAUACGAUCUACGGAUGAAAGCAGGGGAUCGCAAGACCUUGCGCGCAUGGAGCGGCCGAUGGCAGAUUAGGUAGUUGGUGAGGUAAAGGCUCACCAAGCCUUCGAUCUGUAGCUGGUCUGAGAGGACGACCAGCCACACUGGGACUGAGACACGGCCCAGACUCCUACGGGAGGCAGCAGUGGGGAAUUUUGGACAAUGGGCGAAAGCCUGAUCCAGCCAUGCCGCGUGCAGGAUGAAGGCCUUCGGGUUGUAAACUGCUUUUGUACGGAACGAAACGGUCUUUUCUAAUAAAGAAGGGUAAUGACGGUACCGUAAGAAUAAGCACCGGCUAACUACGUG